rnacentral:piRNA from 1 species
UAGUUCGUAUCUCAGAAAAGUCUUCUC